GGGGAAAUUCUGGUUCCAUGACAGAAAUGGGAUGAAAACCAAAUAUUUAGUUCCUAUAAUAAAUAGCACAACACCUUGUUAACAUGCAGAUUCUGAUUUGAUAGGUCUAGUGUGGAACCUGGAAUUCUGCAUUUUUAACAAACUCUCAUGUGAUAUUGAUGCUGCCAAUCUUCCAAGCACAUUUGGAGAGGGCUGGUGCUGUUUGAUAAUUUCCCGGACUGUGGGAUGAAGUGAUAGAAGAGAUGAGAACUUACAGAUUGGUGGGAUUUGGGGCUAGGGAUUGGGGCUAAACACGAGGAAUGAGUCCAAAUCAAGCUUGAAGUUUUGGAUGAGUGGGUGGAUGGUGUGUGUUGGGAACUGAUGGGGGAUAUUCAAGAAGGUUCAUUAGUAUGUUGAGUGGUGGGGUGGGGUAAUAGGCUCUAUAGCCUUUAAGCCAACUUGAGUGGGCCUUCAGUGAGUGGAUAGAGUGCACCAGUCUGAACUCAGUGGGGAGCCUGAAGCACCACAUCUAGAUUUGGGAUUAAGAGGUGUUGAAAAAUGUGUAGGGCUGCGAGCAAGAUGUCCUGAAGAGAAGUGCAAGAGAGAACAUAGCAAGCCAAUCAGGAAUAUGCUGCAUUUCUCCCCUUCCUCCUGAAAAGUGUUUUACAUCUAUUUUAGCCUCCCUUAAAACAUUCUCCAUCCUUUCAAAAUUCUUUCACUAUCAGAAUUGGUCUGUCCUUCACUAAUCAGCUUGAACAGACCUCCUAAGAUGGCAGGGUAAGUGGAUGCCUUUAUUUUCUUCUAUGCGCUUUUUAUAUUUUAUAUUGCAGCAUUUCUUGGUAUAUUGGUUCCUUCUGAGUUGAAUAUGUUGCCUUAACAAAGCAAUUUAUGUGAGGAUCCAUCUUUACUCAUCCAUUGAACUGAGCCCAAAACUAAUCAACUCACAGCUGCUCAUGUAGUCCAGGUUUUAAGGGCUACUUUCAUUAGAUAGAUAUCAGAAUUGGAUAUUAUAAGAGAAAGUGUAUAUGGUGGUGGCAGGAAUUAUUAGCGUGAAGGAAACUAUCAUUUAUUUAAUGCAUUCUCUGUCCCAGAUGCUUACUAUAUAUUGGUUUAUUAAUCUUCAGAAUAGCCAUCAUGACCUGGGUAUUAUUCUUGUCUGUACAGAUGAGGAGGCUGAGACUCAGAGUUAAGCAAUUUGUCUGAUUUCACACAGCUGCUAUGCACUGAGCUGGCAUUUAAAACUAUGUGUGCAUGACCUUUUUCUGCCACUUCCCACUGGUUCCUAAAGAACUGGAGGUUUCAAGAUGGGAUAAAUGAAAAUUAUUCAUUGCUGUAAGACCUUAUGACAAUCUAAAUAUCAUGUUUUGGCGGAGCAUUUUCUUAUUGUCCAUCUGGAUUAAAGUCCCUCCCACAUGCUGCCAUAGUAGUAUUCUUUCUCUGCCCUGUUAUUAUUUAUCAUUUUAUUCAAGUUCCUAAAUUAUCUGUCUGCCCUUCCACACAUUAGACUCCAAGAGGACCAGAAGUGGGUCUGCCAACGUACCAUUGAAGGUAUGGGGCUCAAACAAUAGAAUGGUCCAUAGCUGCUUGUUGAAAACACAAGUAAUCCUCUGUUUAAGCAUGAAAAAGCUGACAUUUUAUGAGUUCUAAAUCAACAAAUAUCAUCUGGAUAAAUAUUUGCUUAGAAAAAAAUCAACACAUAAUUUGGAUAUGUGAUUGAUUUCAGAGAAUUUGUUUCAUGGAGUACAAAUAAGGUAUCAUUGCAGAGUAAAAGGAGUGAUUUCCAGGGAGUCAGCCAUCACUUUUGAGUCAUACUGAUUAUGAUACAUUAUAAUCAGAUGAUAAGAAUUAGAACUCAAAAGCCAGCUUGAUUAUAAGGAUUUAACCUCCUUGUCAUGUUUCCUUGGUAUUUCAUUCAGUGUGCUCUAUCAAUGUUCAGUGCCUCAAGUAGGAAAAGUUGAAAGGUCCAGAACCCAAAGGAAGGAAGCGCUUUACACUGAAACUUGCCUCAGGCAUAUACUAGGAGGUCUUGCUGUGGUCUGACCUAUCUCCAUUCAGGUCUGCUCUUGCACAAUUCAUGUAUUUGGAUGUGUUCUAUCCAUGAAACAAUGUGAUGUGCCAGCCUGUGACUAUCAAGGCAACAGGCUCUUGUAUGAGUCUAAUUCACUUGCAUAAUUUUUGGAGGUAAAAUGUCUUAUUGAUAAAAUUGAGGAGGCAAGAAUUAUGCACACACAGUGAUUUUUAUUCCAUUAUGUUGAAAGAAUUCUGGCAGGCAGCUGCUGGCCAGAGCACACUAUCUUCCAGUGUCUCCCACCUGCAAAAUCUGAGGAUGAACACACCCAUAACUAAUGAAAAUUUCAGAGGGAGAUGAUAACCUCAUAAAGUGUAAUAGGAUUCCAUCUGAAAGUGCCACGGGUGAAAGCCUUGGCUAUUCAACCCAUAGUAACGCAGAGAUAAGUAGAAUUUGUAGUUUUGAUAUUCAUUCUUAAGGAAAGAGAAAGAAGAAAGAAAUUCUUACAGGUAACAGGAGGAAUGCUCUUUUUACGCCUUUGCACAAAUCUGACAGAAAUAGAGAAAAACAGAAGAAAUUACUUCAAAUAUAAACAGUGCGAAUUCACACUAUCAAAAAGGUGAACAGAAUGAUAUCUCUCCACACUUCAUUUUGCAAAAAAUAAGUGCGGCCUAUGGUUGCAAAUAACCAACUGUACGAUGUUAUACAACAUUUUCCCUCUAAAAACACCAGGAAUAAUACAGAAUCAACCUCCAAAUUAUUACAUGUGGGGAAAUAUAUUUGGAUUUAAAUUUAUCAAAUAAAUGAUGAAAACUCUUCUUUACAGUUUCUAUCUCGAGUUGUACCCACCCUCGCAUUAAGUAAAUAGACCUUCUUACCCUUUGUCAGGUGGAAUGAAACGGGCAACCACUCUUUGUGAUGCUAUUCUUAAUUAAUAGUAGUUUUAGCAAAAGAGGGGUAUAGAAGAAAGAUUAGUAAUGUUUGGAUCCACCAAACUAGGUUUGAGUUCUUCUUCUUUUAUGCUGGGUAAACUUCAUUCUCCUAAUAUCACUGAGCCACUGUUUAUUAAUGUGUCAAGAGGAAAUUGUGGUAACAACUUGCCUAUCUCGUAGAAUUUGACUGAAAGAUAUAUUCUCACAUAAAAGUACUUAGAAGAGCUUGGAAAUAUUUUCCUCCCGUUAAUGACAACAUUAGGCUUUGAAAACAUCUGGAGUUUGGGAAAAGAGGACACAGGGGGAGCAGUGUGACUUCUCCAAGGUCAUUUACAAAGCCCAUGACUGAGCAGUAGAGUGUCCCUUCAGGUGUGAGGCUCUCGUUCUGGUCCUCCAGGCCAAAACAUGGGCAUCUCUUCUCGGGAGAGCUCUCUUAGCCUUGAGUGAAAUAAAUAGCCUUCUUCAUCAAAUGGUGUUUGCAGUCUGAUAACGGUGAAGGCAGCUAAUUAAGCACUGUCUUUGCUGCCCAGCAGUUGCUAGAAGCAUAGUACAGUUCCCCAAAGUCAUGUGCAUUCAGUGGCAAAUCUGCCACGUUGCCCUAGGCUGACCUGUGUGUUAGAGAAACUGGCUUGAAAACAGGGUGAACAAGACUUGUGAUAGAACAUGAUGGAAGAUAAUAUGAGAAAAAGAAUGGAUACAUAUAUGUGACUGGGUCACUUUGCUGUACAGUAGAAAUUGACAGAACAUUUUAAACCAACUAGAAUAAAAAUUAAUGUAUAUAUUAUAUAUAUGACUAAAAGGUUUUUUUAUAAAUAUAUAUGUAGAUGUAAAGCAGGUUUAUGAAAAAAAUCACACAUGUAAUACCAAAAAUCAGGGAGCAGUAAUUUACUUUACAAAAGGGCUCAUUAGAGAUGGCUGCUUCAACUCUACUGAUGAUAUGUUAAUAAUUAAUGCAUAAAACAGCUUUCUAACUGCUUGCCAUGUCAGUGGAGUGAUCACAGUACUUUAUAGAUUUUUGAGCAUGUCCUUGCAUGUAAAAUUUAGAAUUGCCUCAAUUAGACUUUAAAAAAAUGUUCAUCAGCAGCUUUCUCAAUAUGUCAGUGCUUAUAAGACAAGAAUGAAAAGGGGGAUGACCUGAAUCUGACGAUACUGUUCAUAACCUACAUUUGCAACUAUUGCGGGACUGACAGUGUUUUCAGUGGUAGCGUUACUGAAAGGGGUCUGGCUGCUUACCUCUCUAAAGCCAAUAAAGAGGCAAGGCUGGUGGAAAGGAGUGUUUGCUGUAUUUCAGAGGCUGCCAACUGAAGGAGGGGAGAGGAGGGUGGACUCAUGUCCAAAGGCUGACUCUCCCCACUGACAAUCAGCAGGCAGAAGUUUAAGGGGAGCUUCAGGUGGAAAGAGGGGGCUACAUGCAGAAACAGCACAGUCAGCACUGAUAGUCAUCCUGACAUUAAUUAUGCCGCCACCUGACUGAUCAUUGUCAUCCUGAUUGUUUUAAAUACAGUUAACCUUCAGUUCCCAGGGUCAAUUUUUUCCCAUUUCUUUGAGACCACUUCUCAGAAUUGUGGUUGCUUAUAUCAUGGCUAUAGUCUGGUCAUCAGGAAGUUAAUUUCUUCUGCCUGGUGGGGGUUUUAGUAUCUAUAAGACAGCCAAGAGAAUAUUGCUCAGAAUAUGAUCUAUAGCCCUUGAGGAGGAACUAAAGGUCCUUGACUUUGCUUAAUGACUAAACUAUUACUGUUUUUGUCCUAUUUGACUAUUUUCCUUUGCUUCUGCAUU
rnacentral:lncRNA from 1 species